rnacentral:sRNA from 1 species
GAUUGUGGCUCCACUGUUACUCUCUGUGUAAUGUGGGAUCGUAAAUUUGGGACAAAGCCGGUACCCCUCUGGGUGGUUGUGAAGUUUACAAGAGACUCUGUAGAAGCCCCUGCCCCAUUCCUGCCAUCUGAGGGUCCAGCCUGGAAGCCAAGUGGCACUGAACCAAUUUUCAGACAUGAGCUUUGCUGAAAUAAAACACAAGUAUCUCUGGUCAGAGCCUCAGAAUUGCUCAGCCACCAAAAGUAACUACCUUCGAGGUACUGGUCCCUACCCACCUUCCGUGGACUGGCGGAAAAAAGGAAAUUUUGUCUCACCUGUGAAAAAUCAGGGUGCCUGCGGCAGUUGCUGGACUUUCUCCACCACCGGGGCCCUGGAGUCUGCGAUCGCCAUCGCAACCGGGAAGAUGCUGUCCUUGCCUCAGUUGUCUUCAUGAGGGAAGAGCCGGGACCUAUGCAUCCAUCCCCUCGCCCACAAGAGACGGAUGAUGCCCCUGAAGGAACUAUCCUAGCCCCUGCCUCUGUGGAGAAAGGAGGGACAGUGCACAGCCGGCCUGGUGAUGCCAUGAGGAC